UACGGGGGGGGCAAGCGUUGUUCGGAAUUACUGGGCGUAAAGGGCUCGUAGGCGGCCAACUAAGUCAUACGUGAAAUCCCUCGGCUUAACCGGGGAACUGCCGUGGAUACUGCCAGUCUCGAGGAGGGUAGGGGCAUCUGGAACAGCCGGUGGAGCGGUGAAAUGCGUUGAUAUCGGCUGGAACUCCGGUGGCGAAGGCGAGAUGCUGGACCCUUUCUGACGCUGAGGCGCGAAAGCCAGGGGAGCGAACGGG
rnacentral:rRNA from 1 species